AGAGUUUGAUCAUGGCACAGGACGAACGCUGGCGGCGUGCCUAACACAUGCAAGUCUUGGGAGAAAAAGGUAGCAAUAUCUUGAGUAAACCGGCGCAAGGGUGAGUAACACGUAGGUAAUCUACCUAGAGGACGGGAAUAACUUCGAGAAAUCGAGGCUAAUGCCCGAUGAUAUUCUGUUACAGCAUUGUAAUGGAAUCAAAGCCGUAAGGUGCCUUUAGAUGAACCUGCGUCCCAUUAGGUAGUUGGUGAGGUAACGGCUCACCAAGCCAACGAUGGGUAGCUGGUCUGAGAGGACGAUCAGCCACACUGGAACUGAGACACGGUCCAGACUCCUACGGGAGGCAGCAGUGAGGAAUAUUGCGCAAUGCCCGAAAGGGUGACGCAGCGACGCCGCGUGGAGGAUGAAGGCCCUACGGGUCGUAAACUCCUUUUAUGAGGGAAUAAUUUCUCGCUAUAGGCGAGAUUGAAUGUACCUCAAGAAAAAGCAUCGGCUAACUACGUGCCAGCAGCCGCGGUAAUACGUAGGAUGCUAGCGUUGUCCGGAUUUACUGGGUGUAAAGGGAGCGCAGGCGGGUUGGUAAGUCGGUGGUGAAAUUCUCAGGCUUAACCUGAGGACUGCCAUCGAUACUGCUAAUCUUGAGUGCAGAAGAGGUUGAUGGAAUUCUAGGUGUAGCGGUGAAAUGCGUAGAUAUCUAGAAGAACACCGAUGGCGAAGGCAGUCAACUGGUCUGCUACUGACGCUCAUGCUCGAAAGCGUGGGGAUCAAACAGGAUUAGAUACCCUGGUAGUCCACGCCCUAAACGAUGAAUACUCGAUGUCGGCUCG
rnacentral:rRNA from 1 species